ensembl:lncRNA
UCCUUUUAAGACAAUCAUGAGAAAUAGUAGCAACAGAGAGGUAACAAAAUAGCAUGUAAACUAUGAUCCAGAUUUUGUGUAAAAUUAAGCAUAUAAAACAUCAUAAAUACACAGAAAAAAUUAGAAAAAUAUAGCUGAAAUUGUUAACGCUGGUUAUCUCUGGGAGUGGAAUUGAGGUGAUAUUUAUUUCUAAUGCUUUCCUGCUUUUCUUCAAUUCCAUGCUGUCGUCACUGAGGGCCUCCAGAACCAGCCCUGUGCUGAUGUUGAUAUGGCAACCAUGCAAAAUUUGACUUAUUUUUCAUAUGCUAAGGGAGAUAAGCUACUUGAUGGUUGUCCAUGACAACUGUCAAAAGCCCCAGAAUCCACACAGCUCUGGGACCUGGGGCCUGGACACUCUGGCCACACCUCCAAACCUGACCUCAUACUCCCACAGACUGCCGUGAGAAGGAGCUUCUGGGAUUUGUUUUCAAGCAAAACAAUAUACUGACCCUUGGCUUUCAUGCCAAAUAAUAUGAAAGUCUCGUACUGAUCUUUACAAACCAAUCGGAUCCUAGAUAGUCACUCAAAGCUAGGAUUCAACCAAAGUAACUGGAGAUAUUUGGAGGUUUUUUCAGAUGUUUAACUUCUAUUAAAGUUAUUUCUUGGCACCUACUAUUGAAAGUAACAGAAUGAGCACAUGCUUAUAAACUUUGUAGAAAGUUAAAGCCACUGAUACAUUUUUGGCAGAAUUGUUGUUUUUCUUAGGCCUGGACCUGCUGGAAUAAUAGCCAGUACCUUCAUGAGGUGGGACACUGGCUUCCAUGAUAUCUGAGGGCCCUCAGUCAGCCCGUGACCCUGGUUUCCUUUUCCAUUGUCCCCACAUCUAACCAGUCCCCAAGUCCUACCAUUCACCAUCUCCUCCUGGACACCUCCAGGAUCCACCCCCACCCCCAUAAUUCUCUCCUGCACCUUGGUCGGAAAACGGUCAUCUCUCACCUGCAUUGUUUUGCCAGUCUUGACCUUGACUGGUGUCCCUAACUCCUAACACCAACCUUCCCAUUUCAGUCUUCCUAUGGCCUCUAGCCUGAUCAUAUCACUUCUCAGCAUGACACUCAUGAUUUCUAACUGGCCUCAGAAUAAAGUCCCACUUCCUUGGCAUGAUCUGGAAGACUUCAGAAUCAGUCCACUUCACACCACACAUCCCCCAGUGCCCCAUCCUCAUGCCCGAGCAGAACCAGCACCCCACAGUGCUUAACUAACCCCUCUUUUUGACAUGGCUCACUGCUAGAACAUGCAUCCCAUUGUUUCCUGUACCUCACUAACCCAUACUCACCCUGCCCAGCCUCACAUUUGACGUUACCUGCUCUGGAUAAACAUUCCCAGUCUUCUUGUAAGAACGGAUAUUGCUUUUAUGGAUCUCAUAGCAACGCUGGGAUAAAAUUAUGCAUUUACUCUCCCCCUUAUGGCUCUCUAAAUUCUUUCUGGUCAUGGACUGUAUGUAUCUUGCUAUUCUUGGUCUCCUACACCUCACACACUGUCCAACACAUCAAAGGUAUUCAAUUAAUACUGAUUCAGAAAGAAACAAUAUGUUGACCGGCUCAAGGUUUAACAAAGAUAGAAUCUCCAGCCAUCCUCAGAUCCCCUGGACUCAGACCUCUGGGUGUUGUUAUUGUUGUUUUGAACUUUUUGUGGUGCUGGGGAUCAAACUCAGACCUAAUGCAUGCUAGGCAAACACUCUACCACUCUACACUCUACCAGUGAGCUACACCUGUAGUCCCAGACCUUUGGAAUUUUAUUGGUUCAAUUACAAGACUAUUUUGAACUUUUCCUCCUUUAUCUCUUACAUGAAAAAGGAAAUAAGGAUGAUUUUGUUGUCAUUUCCUAGAAGAACCACCCCCCAUUUCCUUCCUUCCUUUCGUGUUUCUCUUUAUCCUGUAAGCACAUAAUAGAAACAGGUUAAUUAAUAGGAAGUUAGACAUACUUAUUACUCCAAACAGGAUAUUCCCAUUGCAUUUAUAUCACAGUGGCUUACAAAAUAAAUGCAGACUUUUUUCUCUCCACGUAGAAAUUAAGCAACAGAAUUAUUUUUCCAGCCAUGUUGACUGCCAAGGUUUAUAAUUACUAGAGUUAACAUAAUUAGAUGUCUCUUAGCCCAUAUCCAGCUUAUGAGCCUAACAGCUACCCCAAAAAGGAGAUGUUUGUCUUAUGAGGGAACUAAAUGUACAAAUAUGGGACUUUUAUUAAGUCAAUCCCAUCAUUUUGUUUUCGAAUUAUUUCCCAUUCCUAGACGUUUACAUUCAGUCAUUAGAAGUCUGUGUAAUUACGGAAGAUGUUUAAGUGUGUCUCAGCUCAUUUAAAGUAAGCACGCACCUUUCAUCUCCUCAUUCAUCCUGGGCUUCAAUUCCUUCCCAACUAUGUAUAUUCAUUCCACCUAUUUAUUGCAGGGUAAUUUUCUUUGGUGGAAAAGAUGGAAGCAAAUAGAUUUUUGUAGCUUUAUGGUGCCUUUACUUGCUAAUGAUCUUGCUUACUGCAUUCUCCUCUUUGCUUAUCUUUAUAACAUUUUUAAGUAUGAUCAUUCAGAAUUUGGCCUCCUGUAGCACAUUCUAGGGCAGUGGUGGCAAACCUAUGACACAUGUCCCACGCUGGGCUGUUUAUCAUCACUGAAAGCUCUAAAAGGUUCACCAUCAACUGUUCUUAGGUUUUGGGCCAUUUUUACAUUUGUCUUGUAUUAUUGUUUUCCUUCCAUCUUCAUCUACCCGUAUUUCUUUCUUUAUUACCAUCCUUCACAUAACGGAAAAAGGACAGCUUGCUUUCUUCAACUGUAAUCCUGCCUUUACAGAUUUCUCUGAGGUCAUAACAAAGCCUGUCUUUUUAAAAGCCACAUGGCUAUAAACUCACACCCAAUAAUAUAUCUUGUUUUCCAAUGCUGCUUUUUGGCAGCUGGUAGGAACAUUGAUUAUUCAUAUGCACAGAAAUCACAAUGCCUGUGGGUGAUUUGAUUCUUCCUCCCUGAGUUAUGGCUGUAAUUCUAAAUGAGGUGUUUCAUUUGGGCUUGCACAGGAAGGAGAGACAGAGAGAGGCGAGCAUUGGGCUUUCAGAAUGCUUUACACUGCUCCAUAUUAUUUUCAUCUUCAUAUUUUGACUUUUAAGUUUUAGCUUUAAAAACUGAUGAAAUGAAAGCUGGGAGUCUAGCUCAGUGGUAGAGCAAUUGUCCAGCAGGCAUGAGACCUUGGGCUCUAUCCCAGCACCACAAAAAGUUAAUAAAAUAAAAUCAUGCAAUGAAGAGCCAGCUUUGUUUGACUAUACUAAAACCACUUCAAAGGUACUCUGAAACUUUGCUUUAAACAUUUCCUCACAACGUUUUUGAGCAAGAUACAAGAUCCAGGUAAUUUAAGAAAGCAUUUCUGGAAAACUGCAGUGAGACAGUUGAUGAACUUCAGCCAAGGCUGAGGCAUUACUAAGGGAAUCUGCUACCCUGGGAUCCUAAUU